GUAGGGAAUAUUGGGCAAUGGUCGGAAGACUGACCCAGCCAUGCCGCGUGCAGGAAGACGGCCCUCUGGGUUGUAAACUGCUUUUAUCUGGGAAGAAAAAGGCCAUGCGUGGCAAAUUGCCGGUACCAGAUGAAUAAGCACCGGCUCACUCCGUGCCAGCAGCCGCGGUAAUACGGAGGGUGCGAGCGUUGUCCGGAUUUAUUGGGUUUAAAGGGUGCGUAGGCGGCUGAUUAAGUCAGCGGUGAAAGACUUCGGCUUAACCGGAGCAGUGCCGUUGAUACUGGUUGGCUUGAGUGUCGGAGGGGUACAUGGAAUUGAUGGUGUAGCGGUGAAAUGCAUAGAUACCAUCAGGAACACCGAUAGCGAAGGCAUUGUACUGGCCGACAACUGACGCUGAUGCACGAAAGUGUGGGGAUCGAACAGGAUUAGAUACCCCAGUAGUCC
rnacentral:rRNA from 1 species